rnacentral:rRNA from 1 species
GACACUGAGGCUCGAAAGCGUGGGUAGCAAACAGGAUUAGAUACCCUGGUAGUCCACGCCGUAAACGAUGUCUACUAGUCGUUGGGUCCCUUGAGGACUUAGUGACGCAGCUAACGCAAUAAGUAGACCGCCUGGGGAGUACGGCCGCAAGGUUAAAACUCAAAUGAAUUGACGGGGGCCCGCACAAGCGGUGGAGCAUGUGGUUUAAUUCGAUGCAACGCGAAGAACCUUACCUGGUCUUGACAUACACAGAAUCUUGUAGAGAUACGAGAGUGCCUUCGGGAAUUGUGAUACAGGUGCUGCAUGGCUGUCGUCAGCUCGUGUCGUGAGAUGUUGGGUUAAGUCCCGCAACGAGCGCAACCCUUGUCCUUAGUUACCAGCGGGUUAAGCCGGGAACUCUAAGGAUACUGCCAGUGACAAACUGGAGGAAGGCGGGGACGACGUCAAGUCAUCAUGGCCCUUACGACCAGGGCUACACACGUGCUACAAUGGUAGGUACAGAGGGCAGCUACACAGCGAUGUGAUGCGAAUCUCAAAAAGCCUAUCGUAGUCCAGAUUGGAGUCUGCAACUCGACUCCAUGAAGUAGGAAUCGCUAGUAAUCGCGGAUCAGAAUGCCGCGGUGAAUACGUUCCCGGGCCUUGUACACACCGCCCGUCACACCAUGGGAGUUGAUUGCACCAGAAGUGGUUAGCC